CUACCCAAGGCCCACCUUGUAUUUUCAGAGACUCUCUUUGUAAAUAUUAUCUUUCAUUUAUUAAUAUCUCUCAUUAGCGCACCCUGUAUUUUUGUUGUUUCCUUUUCUCCCAGAUUUUUUGAAGGGUUUGAGGGUUGCCCUUCCCCUCAGGUGUGCAGCUCCAUCCACCUCUGUGAUCAGUACUGUAGCGCUGUUCCACUCCAAUUACGAUUUUUUCUGUAAAAGACAGACAUUGUUUGAAAAUAUUACAGUUAUUAGGGGGGGUGGAAUAAAAACAGGGGUUUUCUUCACAAUUUAAAGCUGCAGACUGCUCCAAUAUAAUUUAAAGGGGCAGACAGAGUACAAUAGAAUGCAAUAUGCACAAAUAACGUUUUUAAAGGGCAAAAUCUUCCAGGGGCCAUAGUCGCAGGGCAGGAGGCUGGCAAUUAGUCCUCUCCAGGCACAAGUGGCGAAGGGCACUUCGUCACAGGAAGAAUCUUGCAAUGCAGAGAAAUGCAUAGAUGCCCCUGGGCCCAUCAGACAAGUAUGAUGGUGGAAGCCAGGCGUUCAAGUAGUUGCAUCUACUUUCUUAC